AAAAAAAGCAAAUAAAAUAAAAACAAAAAAAUAAACUGUAUUAAAAAAAAAUCCCCAGAACACAGCUGCUAAAUAUAUGUUUAUUAUGAGCAAAAAGACUUGAAGGAGAGGAAAAAAAGACCUCUAUUUUUCAAACCAUUUUCUUUGCUUUCCAGACUUUCAUCUAUCACCAAUAAUGAGAGUGGAAUGGAUAACAAAACAGAACAUAAAGAUGUCAGAGAUGUGUCCACCACAUGAAAGUGAUAUCAUUCUUUUCAUAUUAACAUGGCCUUUACUAACAGGACUUCCAGAUGUGCUUAAACUGGAAGAGUGGCUGAUACCCAGAGUGCUGUGCUGCCAUUCAGAAGGAUCUUGACAGAGAGAAGGGCGGAGAAAAACACCGUGAAAUUCAACAAAGAGUGAAUAGCUGUUAAAGACAGAGUUUAGUGCUGGAAACCAUAUUCUCAAAGAAAACAAUAUCUGGGAAAGUGCACUGAAGAAAAGCAAGAUAUGACUGCAAGGCACAGAGAUUCUCAGCUGGUAUUGAAUCCCUCUGCCUCUGAUGACUUCAGAAGAGCUACAAGUCCAGUACAGAGGUUUGGCACAGGAUUGUAAUAAACAGUGCAACUACUCAUAUUAGCAAGUGAGACUACAAUACUACUUUCAAUAAAGAAAUGGGAACUUCUCCAUCGAUUACAGUGGAGUAGGUUCAAACCAUAAAAGAGCAUAUCAACAGCAGAGCCAGAACACUGUAAAAAAGCAGUCUCAUUUUGGACAGCAAAUGCAACCACACAUUAAUCCAUUUUUUGUAUAACAUAUAAAGAGGGUAGGAAAUCAUUUGUCAUUACUGGCAAAGGGGAAAAACUCAUCAACAAAGCCAUCACUUCAUUCAGGUGUGACCACAAUAUAUGUUACCACCACACCAAAAUUACAGCUGAGGCAAUGCCAGUCCUCUUUCAUGGGGACAUGGUAAACAGCUGAUAUGAGGAAAAAGGAAAAUGGUAUGGAGGAAAAUCUGUAAACCAAAGUUAUGUGGUAAGUCAAAGAGAGAAGUGCCAUAGCUGACUAUGUCCAAACAUGGCACUGGGAAAGUGAAAAUAUACCAUUUUUAACUUAAAGAUACUAUGCAGACAACUAAUUUUCUUACAAGAUUCCUCAUUAUUGCCACUGUAUUUAAGAUUUUUGCUCACUAUUCUUCUAAUUAGUCCAUAUAACACAUGACAUUAUAUUUAAUUUCUUGUUGGGAAAUAAAAGAAACAACAUGAAACAUAUUUGUCCUAUGACAACAAUUUGUAUACAUGUAGAAAGUGAAGAAUGAGAAUGAAUUCUCAAAAUAUAGGGCUCGACCAAUAAUGAGUAUAUCGUAUUGUUUAAUGUUUGCCUUGAACUUACAAUUCUUAGAAAGACAUUUUGAAAUGUCUUGAACAGAUUUUUAGUGAUGAUAAGAAUGUAUCACGACUCAGUCUGAAUUAUUCCAAAUAUUAUGUGCAUUGAAUAAUUUUCCACCUUAUUUUUAAGCAUAAUUAACCUAGUAUUGCAUCCUGAAUGCUGAAUUCCAAUGAAAACAUGUACCAGCCUUCAAAGAUCAGUAGAAAAAAUGACAUCUGGCAGAAGAAUAUAGCUACCACCUGGUCUACCAGAAGCAGGUGGAAAUCUAGGAAGUUCCUAUCUAUUGCACAUCUCCUUAAAAUAAAA
rnacentral:lncRNA from 1 species